CCUAGCUUCGGCUGAACAUAUGCUAUAAUUGGAAUGCUGCAGAGAAGAUUAGCACGGCCUCUGCGCAAGAAUGGCAUGCAAAAUCGUUGGGCGUUCCACAUUUUU